GCGUGGGUGUGUAGGAGAGCAGCAGUGAAUCUGCCCCUCCUUCUGUGAUUUCCGGCCUCCACGUGAGUGUGAUUAUAUUGUAUUAUUUUUAAACAACACACCCCAGAUAACGCAAAUCAGCUACUUCAGCUGGUCCUCAGCCUGAGAAACAGUCAUUUGUUUUAGCCCUGGAAGAAAAACUGAUUAUAUUGGACUUAUUGAGAAGUCCUUUGGUCUCCAGAAUGGCCAUCCCCUCGUAAGGAAACUUUAAGGGUUACAUCAGUGACUCGGUCCCCUUUGCCGUAUUCUCUGGACUGGAGAUUGAACCAGGUGUAAGCAGUGAUGCCUCGGUCGCUCCCCUAUUUCCAGUUGGACAAUGUCACCUUCUAAGGGCCCCUUAGAAGGGGCCCUGCCAGCUUCUUGCUGGACAAACGCACUUUCGCCCCAUCCCCCUUCUGACUUGGGCAUCUCUGACCUUUCCUUUUGACUUCUUCCCCCUCUGGAAUCCAUGAAAGGAGAAAUAUCCUUUACAUGCACUACAUUUUGUAUCGUCUCUAAUGUAUCAACUUGUUCAAUAGCUAACCAUGUGGGUAAAAUUCUCUCCACCCACCCUCCUCCUCUUAUACACCAUCUCUCUGUUCCCUUCUCACUUUUCCUUCUUCUUUAUUUCCUUAAUUCAGCUUUGCUUCAAACCACUGUCUACCUGGCACUUUUCAGGAGCCUCGGAUGCAAAGGAGAGCACUUUGCAGCCCGGAGCUCAGGAACACAAGCCCAGGGGUAGCAGACAAAGAUGCACAAAUCCACAGAAGGCCAAGGUCAAAGCCCUCUGAACCAGUUGACUUCAUCUGACCCAGGAAGAAAGAGACCCUUGAAGAGACUGAUUUGCUCAAGGUCGCCCAGCUAGGAAGUGGCCUCACCCGCCUCCUUGGAGGCUGAGCUCAGGGCUCUGGACCCCCUCACUGAACAGCCCUUCCUUCAGGGACAGGGAUGCAAAGAUUUGUUUCACCUGCAUCCUUAACCUCAAAACGAGUGCAUCAUUCCAGGUUUGCCAAGUUCCGGAUGAUUCCUCUAAGCACCAGUAACUUAAAUAUCACCCAGCUGAGGACAAAAAGCCACAGUUGCAAAAUACAUAUCCUGUUGGGUGUAGGGUUUCUGCCAAGAUCAAUGAGAAGAGCUUGAAGGUCGUGUGAUUCCCACACGGAGUUCAUGAACUGUGCUCAGUCUCGCACCUUUUGAAGUCUGAAGACACAUCGAAAGAACUUUUCAUUCUUUCACCCAUCUCUUCAUUCAUUCAGCUAAUGUUUAUUUAGGGACUUCUGUGUGUGUCAUGUUGCGCUAGGUCCUGAGUUGAGUUGGUUAAGCAGGAAGAGGUAAAAGUGUAUUCAGGGGGAAAAUUACAUAAUCUCUGAAAAAAAGAUCUACAAAAACAUUGUAUUAGAUGAUAACAUUGAAGCAAUGUUAAAUUCCUGAAUAUUGUCAUUAUAUUGCAAUUAUGUAGCAGAAUGCCAUUGUUCAUAAGAGGUGUAUAUUCAGGGCUAAGGUGUCAUGAUG